GAUGAACGCUGGCGGCGUGCCUAAUACAUGCAAGUCGAGCGAACAGACGAGGAGCUUGCUCCUCUGACGUUAGCGGCGGACGGGUGAGUAACACGUGGAUAACCUACCUAUAAGACUGGGAUAACUUCGGGAAACCGGAGCUAAUACCGGAUAAUAUAUUGCACCGCGUGGUUCAAUAGUGAAAGACGGUUUUGCUGUCACUUAUAGAUGGAUCCGCGCCGCAUUAGCUAGUUGGUAAGGUAACGGCUUACCAAGGCAACGAUGCGUAGCCGACCUGAGAGGGUGAUCGGCCACACUGGAACUGAGACACGGUCCAGACUCCUACGGGAGGCAGCAGUAGGGAAUCUUCCGCAAUGGGCGAAAGCCUGACGGAGCAACGCCGCGUGAGUGAUGAAGGUCUUCGGAUCGUAAAACUCUGUUAUUAGGGAAGAACAAAUGUGUAAGUAACUAUGCACGUCUUGACGGUACCUAAUCAGAAAGCCACGGCUAACUACGUG
rnacentral:rRNA from 1 species